UAAAUCAUCACGUGAUACAGAUAAACUACCAAAAACGCAUAUAAAUAGAAUUGAUUUGAUCAUUCAGUGACAGUUGUUAGGUACUCUAAGAUACACGGUAAUUUGUCAAAUAAGAAGGCUGUUGCUUUUCUAGUUGUUUUUCUCGCUGUAGCAUUUUCAGAAACCAAUGCUGGUGAGGCGGAGUGUGCUACUGCGUCAACCAUCAAAUGCGUUUCAAAUUUUUCUGCUGCUGCGAAUACCGAAUGCACGAAGAAAGAACCAUACUUUCAAUGCUUGAGGGAUAACGGCUGUACCAAGGCUGACGAAACUUAUAAAGGUUUUGUUAAUACGUUAGAUUAUACCAAGUGUAGUGGUGCUGGUCUAGCCAUAACAUGGAUGUUGCCAUUGGUAAUGUUAUUAAUGUCAAGGACGUUCUCUGAUUAAUAAACAAGAAGACAAAGAAGAUGCACCCAUAUCCAUAAAUCUACAGGGUAUUAGUACCCAUCCGGCAAUAAUGUAUGAUAUACAUGCCCAGCCAGCCUUAAAAUAUGCAAAAAUACCAUUAAACUAUUGUAUAUAAGAACAAAUUUAAUCCGCUUAAAAUUAACAUUAAUAUGUUCUAUAAAAUUUACAUGUUCUAUAAAAUUUACAUUAAUAUGUUCUAUAAAAUUUACAUUAAUAUAUCAAUAAAAUAAAUUACACAGUUAAUAAUC